CCUACGGGAGGCAGCAGUGGGGAAUUUUGGACAAUGGGGGCAACCCUGAUCCAGCCAUGCCGCGUGUGUGAAGAAGGCCUUCGGGUUGUAAAGCACUUUCGGACGGAACGAAAUCGCGCGUGUUAAUAGCUCGCGUGGAUGACGGUACCGUAAGAAGAAGCACCGGCUAACUACGUGCCAGCAGCCGCGGUAAUACGUAGGGUGCGAGCGUUAAUCGGAAUUACUGGGCGUAAAGUGUGCGCAGGAGGCGUCGCAAGUCGAGUGUGAAAGCCCCGGGCUUAACUUGGGAAUUGCGCUCGAAACUACGGUGCUGGAGUGUGGCAGAGGAAGGUGGAAUUCCACGUGUAGCGGUGAAAUGCGUAGAUAUGUGGAGGAACACCGAUGGCGAAGGCAGCCUUCUGGGCCAACACUGACGCUCAUGCACGAAAGCGUGGGGAGCAAACAGGAUUAGAUACCCUGGUAGUUCACGCCCUAACGAUGAUGCCUAGUACUGGGGGAGUUAAAUCCCCUUCUAGAGCCACCAUGUAAAUCUCUAUAUAAUCUUUAUUAAUCCUAAUUUUA
rnacentral:rRNA from 1 species